AAAUCCGGUUCACUUUAACACUGAGGCGUGACGACGAGGCACUACGGUGCUGAAGCAACAAAUGCCCUGCUUCCAGGAAAAGCCUCUAAGCAUCAGGUAACAUCAAAUCGUACCCCAAACCGACACAGGUGGUCAGGUAGAGAAUACCAAGGCGCUUGAGAGAACUCGGGUGAAGGAACUAGGCAAAAUGGUGCCGUAACUUCGGGAGAAGGCACGCUGACACGUAGGUGAAGUGAUUUACUCAUGGAGCUGAAGUCAGUCGAAGAUACCAGCUGGCUGCAACUGUUUAUUAAAAACACAGCACUGUGCAAACACGAAAGUGGACGUAUACGGUGUGACGCCUGCCCGGUGCCGGAAGGUUAAUUGAUGGGGUCAGCGCAAGCGAAGCUCCUGAUCGAAGCCCCGGUAAACGGCGGCCGUAACUAUAACGGUCCUAAGGUAGCGAAAUUCCUUGUCGGGUAAGUUCCGACCUGCACGAAUGGCGUAAUGAUGGCCAGGCUGUCUCCACCCGAGACUCAGUGAAAUUGAACUCGCUGUGAAGAUGCAGUGUACCCGCGGCAAGACGGAAAGACCCCGUGAACCUUUACUAUAGCUUGACACUGAACAUUGAGCCUUGAUGUGUAGGAUAGGUGGGAGGCUUUGAAGUGUGGACGCCAGUCUGCAUGGAGCCGACCUUGAAAUACCACCCUUUAAUGUUUGAUGUUCUAACGUGGACCCGUUACCCGGGUUGCGGACAGUGUCUGGUGGGUAGUUUGACUGGGGCGGUCUCCUCCUAAAGAGUAACGGAGGAGCACGAAGGUUGGCUAAUCCUGGUCGGACAUCAGGAGGUUAGUGCAAUGGCAUAAGCCAGCUUGACUGCGAGCGUGACGGCGCGAGCAGGUGCGAAAGCAGGUCAUAGUGAUCCGGUGGUUCUGAAUGGAAGGGCCAUCGCUCAACGGAUAAAAGGUACUCCGGGGAUAACAGGCUGAUACCGCCCAAGAGUUCAUAUCGACGGCGGUGUUUGGCACCUCGAUGUCGGCUCAUCACAUCCUGGGGCUGAAGUAGGUCCCAAGGGUAUGGCUGUUCGCCAUUUAAAGUGGUACGCGAGCUGGGUUUAGAACGUCGUGAGACAGUUCGGUCCCUAUCUGCCGUGGGCGCUGGAGAACUGAGGGGGGCUGCUCCUAGUACGAGAGGACCGGAGUGGACGCAUCACUGGUGUUCGGGUUGUCAUGCCAAUGGCACUGCCCGGUAGCUAAAUGCGGAAGAGAUAAGUGCUGAAAGCAUCUAAGCACGAAACUUGCCCCGAGAUGAGUUCUCCCUGAGACUUAAAGUCUCCUGAAGGAACGUUGAAGACGACGACGUUGAUAGGC
rnacentral:rRNA from 1 species